rnacentral:rRNA from 1 species
UACAGAGGUGGCAAGCGUUGUUCGGAAUUACUGGGCGUAAAGGGCGCGUAGGCGGCUUUUUAAGUCAGACGUGAAAUCCCCCGGCUUAACCUGGGAACUGCGUCUGAUACUGGGAAGCUUGAGUUCGGGAAAGGGAUGUAGAAUUCCAGGUGUAGCGGUGAAAUGCGUAGAUAUCUGGAGGAAUACCGGUGGCGAAGGCGGCAUCCUGGACCGAAACUGACGCUGAGGCGCGAAAGCUAGGGGAGCAAACGGG